rnacentral:rRNA from 1 species
AGUGAACGCUGGCGGUAGGCCUAACACAUGCAAGUCGAACGGCAGCACAGUAAGAGCUUGCUCUUACGGGUGGCGAGUGGCGGACGGGUGAGGAAUACAUCGGAAUCUACUUUUUCGUGGGGGAUAACGUAGGGAAACUUACGCUAAUACCGCAUACGACCUACGGGUGAAAGCAGGGGAUCUUCGGACCUUGCGCGAUUGAAUGAGCCGAUGUCGGAUUAGCUAGUUGGCGGGGUAAAGGCCCACCAAGGCGACGAUCCGUAGCUGGUCUGAGGGGAUGAUCAGCCACACUGGAACUGAGACACGGUCCAGACUCCUACGGGAGGCAGCAGUGGGGAAUAUUGGACAAUGGGCGCAAGCCUGAUCCAGCCAUACCGCGUGGGUGAAGAAGGCCUUCGGGUUGUAAAGCCCUUUUGUUGGGAAAGAAAGGCAGCAGGUUAAUACCCCGCUGUUCUGACGGUACCCAAAGAAUAAGCACCGGCUAACUUCGUG